rnacentral:lncRNA from 1 species
UGCACAAAAAAUUUCUCUUCUAAACAAAGAACCCCUCGGAGGCCACCGUGAAAUCUGAAAGCCCACGAAAGCCCAAGCCCAUCGUAAGGGCCAAUUGCUGGUUGGGUUCCGGAGGGCGCUAGUUUUUCUAUUUCUGGGGGAAGAGAUCCGAUUAUCCAAGGACGAGGAGAAUGGAUAAGAACUCCUUCUCUAAUGCUAAACGUUAAAAGCGGACAAUGGUCAUAAAAGUGGGA